rnacentral:rRNA from 1 species
GAUGAACGCUGGCGGCGUGCCUAAUACAUGCAAGUCGAGCGAACGGACGAGAAGCUUGCUUUUCUGAUGUUAGCGGCGGACGGGUGAGUAACACGUGGAUAACCUACCUAUAAGACUGGGAUAACUUCGGGAAACCGGAGCUAAUACCGGAUAAUAUUUUGAACCGCAUGGUUCAAAAGUGAAAGAAGGUCUUGCUGUCACUUAUAGAUGGAUCCGCGCUGCAUUAGCUAGUUGGUAAGGUAACGGCUUACCAAGGCAACGAUGCAUAGCCGACCUGAGAGGGUGAUCGGCCACACUGUAACUGAGACACGGUCCAGACUCCUACGGGAGGCAGCAGUAGGGAAUCUUCCGCAAUGGGCGAAAGCCUGACGGAGCAACGCCGCGUGAGUGAUGAAGGUCUUCGGAUCGUAAAACUCUGUUAUUAGGGAAGAACAUAUGUGUAAGUAACUGUGCACAUCUUGACGGUACCUAAUCAGAAAGCCACGGCUAACUACGUG